rnacentral:rRNA from 1 species
AGUCGGACGGUAACAGGGGAGCUUGCUCCCGCUGACGAGUGGCGGACGGGUGAGUAAUGCAUGGGAAUCUGCCCUUUAGUUGGGGAUACCGUAUGGAAACGUACGUUAGUACCGAAUGAGAUCUACGGAUGAAAGGUGCCCUCUUCUUGAAAGGUAUCGCUAAAGGAUGAGCCCAUGUUAGAUUAGCUAGUUGGUGAGGUAAUGGCUCACCAAGGCAUCGAUCUAUAGCUGGUUUGAGAGGAUGAUCAGCCACACUGGGACUGAGACACGGCCCAGACUCCUACGGGAGGCAGCAGUGGGGAAUAUUGCACAAUGGAGGAAACUCUGAUGCAGCCAUGCCGCGUGUGUGAAGAAGGCCCGAGGGUUGUAAAGCACUUUUAGUGAGGAGGAAAGGUUAGUCGUUAAUACCGGCUAGCUGUGACGUUACUCACAGAAAAAGCACUUUCUAACUCUGCGCCAGCAGCCGCGGUAAUACAGAGGGUGCAAGCGUUAUUCGGAAUUACUGGGCGUAAUAGCGCGCGUAGGCGGAUUGUUAAGUCAUUUGUGAAAGCCCUGAGCUCAACCUAGGAACGGCGAUUGAAACUGGCAGUCUAGAGUUUAGUAGAGGGAAGGGUAAUUUCUGGAGUAGCAGUGAAAUGCGUAAAUAUCCAAGGAACUUCGGUGGCCAAGGCCCCUUCCUGGACCUAAACUGACCCUAAGUGCGAAGCGUGGGGUAACAAUACGGAAUUAGAUUACCCGGUAAUCCA